AUGGAGGACUUUGUGGCAUGGAGAUUUACUAAGAACAACAUGUUCACAGUCCGGUCGGCGUAUCAUGCGGAGUGGGAUCAUCAGUUUGGACUAUGGUUUAUGAGAACGGAAGGACAACAAUCACAGCGCUAUCCAGUUUGGGCGAAACUUUGGGAGUCCUCAUUGCCAGGCAAGAUCAAGAUACACGCUUGGAAAGUGCUGCAUGGGUUCAUACCAUGCUUCGGAGUCCUGGCAAAUCGACAUAUGGCUAUGCCCAGGAGCUGUCCAAUGUGUGCAGGUGGAUGUGAGGAUAUUAAGCAUGUGCUCUUUACUUGCACAAGGGCGGCAGAAAUAUGGAGAUGUCUACAGCUAGAGGGAGUAGUGGAGGAGGUGUGUAAUGUGGACAAAGCUGGUUCUUCAGUUCUGGAUCAUAUUCUAUGCAUGCCGACGAGAGGGAGCCUGCUUCCAGAGGUGAGCGCUCAGACAUUAAUCCUCAUCGGGAUAUGGUAUGUUUGNNNNNNNNNNNNNNNNNNNNNNNNNNNNNNNNNGAAAAAGCCCACGGAGGACUAUGUCAAGCUUAACAUCGAUGCGGCUUUCCAUGUAGAAACUCGCAGUGGAGCAGUCGGGGCAGUGCUGAGGGAUGACAGAGGGGGAUUCAUUGCUGCGUCGAAUGAAAGGCUGGAGCAUGUGGCGGACGCGGCAACAGUAGAAGCAUAUGCCUUGAGACAAGGGCUCCUACUGGCGCAACAGGUGGGCGUGACCAAGAUGGUGGUGGAGGCGGACUGUUUGGAAGUAAUCAACACGAUGAACUCGGGCGGAUUCACGGCGACAGGAGCGGCGGCAAUUUAUGCAGAUUGUAAUGCUCUGAUAGUAGGUUAUACUUUGGUGUCUUUCGUACACUGCCCGCGGGAGGCAAAUUGUGUCUCUCAUGAGCUAGCUAGGCUGGCAGUCUCAAACCCACCCUCGAUGUGGGUCGAGGAACCACCGGCAUCUAUUGUAAAGUGGCUGGUGGAUGAUGUAACGGUGAUUUGA
rnacentral:rRNA from 1 species